GGCAGGCAGAUUUCCAACCAAAUGAACCAAGCCCUCUCUGGGGACUAGGAGACGACUCUCUAUGCAAGGCAUGGCUCCAUAUUUCUUUCAUAACCUGGUGCAGCCCUGAUCUGUCUUUGAACUCUGCUCCUCCUGCUUCCCAGUGUUUGCUGGACAGCCCCCGCCCUGGGCACCUGUUUUCUUCAACACCCUCCAGCAGGUUGGUAAGCUUCUCAGAUGCAGUGAUGGUGGCCAGGAAGGAACGGUGAAUGAAAUAGUCUAGUGAACGGAGGACACAGACGUCUUGGCCACAGUCUCAGCUUCCCUUGGUAAAAAGCUGCCUCCAAAGGCCUUGUGCAUUGGAGCCUAGAGGCCCCGGGAGCCUUCCCCGAGAGCCCAUCCCGGGCCAUCCCCGGAAAGCACCACACAGGGUAAGAGGAAGAGAACAUCCAAACCCUAAGUAGUCCUUCUGAGUGAAUCCCCCUUUUGAUGGUGGGAUGGCACUUCCUCGUCGUCGUCCUUUUGCUUAAUUCCCCUCCCUGCAAAACAGGCCAGGGUUUCCUGUGGAGCCGGUGAGGACAAGGGCAUGCCGCCCCGAGUGAGGGCGCCAGCUGAGUCAACAGGGUCAGGCACUUCAGUGAAAAUUCCUUUUUUGGAAGCCAGGCGGUGGCUUUCCAGGACUGCAGAAUCCUUGGGAAGUGACGCAAGCCCUCAGUCAGGGAGAGGCCCCACGCUCCGCUCCUCCUCGCUCCUCCUCGGAAGGUGCUGGAAAGACUGGGCUGGACGAGCCAGCGAGAUGUGAGCAGUUUGUGGGGCCCUCUCCUUCCUCCUGGAGCAUCUGCGCAGCCCCAGCCCCAACCCGCGGAGGGCAGGGCUUUCGGCAGAGACCUCCUUAUAUAGGAAACGCUCUACUGAGGAGGCUUCUAGGGACUGCACAGGCACUGCCUCUCAGCCUUCUCUGUGGAACUCUCUCCACAGCAGCAGCGUCCUAUUCUAGAAGGCGACAGAAACGGCAGGGGGAAGGGGGGCUAAAAUGGCUAUAUUGUCACAAUGCUAGAGGCAGAGGCUGUGUUUUGAGGAAUGCUGUGUGGCUCUUUUACUCUGGCCUCAUCGGGCCAGGGAAAGCCUCUCUCAGCAGGCAGCUUGGACCAGUGAGUGCCCAGGACGGAGCAAAGCUGACCUCUGGGACUGCAGCAGGGGCUGUGGCCUGCGUGUGAAGGGAGGGAAGGCCGAGCCCCCCCCCCGCCCCCCCCCCCCAGAAGGCCUGGGCAGUGGGUAGGAGCCCCAAGGAUGGUGUGGGGCCCUCUCCGCUGCAGUGACUUUUCACUGUGCCUGAACGGUCAGCCAGGAGAGGAGAGAGGCCUCCGUGCUAACAUUUCCUAAAAGGAAAUUCACAAAUCUGAGUAGGAGUACAUUUGUCUCCCGGAGUCUUAGGAGACAAAUCGUGCUGCCCCUUAUUCUAGUGGAAGCUCCCCCAUUUCCUUUGCGGGGGGGCACACUGUCCUCACCCCAUCUGUGUGGCUGGGGCUGAUCCUUCCCUGUCUGCAGGACCAGGUCCGUGGCCCUGUGUGGCACACCCUCUCCCCAGGAUGCAACCCCAGGACUUCCUGCUGUGGGGCUGGCAUCUCACUUUCAUAUGAGGAGGGCCGGCCUGGAGAUGAUACCAACCCAGAGGAAAGCAGGACCAAGAGAUGGAAAGACAGGGGAGCCUGAGGUCGCUCAGUCGGUUAAGUGUCCCAACCGGCCUCAGGUCAUGAUCCCACAGUUCAUGGGUUCCAGCCCCACAUUGGGCUCUGUGCUGACAGC